CCACUUUUCUACCUUCUCUCUAGAGUUCAUUGAGUAAUGACAAUCGUGCUUCAAUUGAUGUAUUUAUCACGCACAACUAGCCUCUCGCUGCAAUGCAAAUUGCCUGUAAUUAAUGCAUAGUCCAAAAUACAGUCAAUUGGGUCUUUGAAUAGCAUGUUUCUAAUACUAUUAACAAUGUUUUACUUUAUUAUGUGACAGGGGCACGGAUUUGGGCAUGGAGUCUGCGGAGCUAAACCGAGGAUACACUCAUGCCUUUGAAUCUACAUUUGAGAGCAAGUCAGGUUUGCAAGAGUACCUCGAUUCUGCUGCUCUUGCUGCAUUUGCAGAAGGAUUUUUGCCUACUUUGUCACAGCGUCUUGUGAUAGACUACUUUCUCUACUAAAUGCUCAGGAGUAACGACUUCGGCCGGGCUAUUUCAUGGGAAUAAAGUAAUGUAAUGUGCAAUAAAUGCUGGUUUUGAACCACUGAAUGUUCGUGUCUUGAUUUCUUGUUUGUGCUGUGCUAUGUGAAGGGAGUGCUGCUAUUCCUUAAAAAUAAAACCCUUGGGGUUGAGUUGUUGUUUUUCAAUCUUUUUCCCCGGUUAAUUUCGGUCUUGGUGUUGUUUUCUUCCCAUUUUAUGCCAUUAUCCUCGAAUGAGCUCCACCAUUGACGCACUUUCACGACUGACUGCGUGCGUAUGUACUUCUCUGAUGCCAAAUGCCAAGAGGAAAAAAGAAACGAUAAGAAGAGGAAAAGGAAAGAACCAGCAUCGAUACUGGAAACAACCCUCACAAUAAAAGCUAAAAUGUAAGGAUUCAUCACUUAAAGAAUCUGCCGUUUAAAACAAGUGAAUUUGCAUUGGCCCUUCGACAUUUUUAUUUGUUAUUUUCUGUUAUUGGAUCCUUCUUUCAAUUAAUUUAUUUGGCACGUCACAUGUUUCGCAUGAACUUCAGUCGGUGUUUUGUGGACGGUAAAGCGAAAGGAAGAAAAGGCCAAACAAAUUUUUUGGAAGUGCAUGAUGAAAAAUCAAGACCGGACCUUGUAGACAAGUUUACCAGUCAAAUUAAACGGGCAGGACAAGAAUUUAGAAUUCAAAUAUCGGAAGCCAUAUAUAUAUAUAUAUAUAUAUAUAUAUGACGUGUAAAAAGCAAGGAUGGAAAGAAUAUUCCAGUGUCAGAACGUAGACAUAGUCAACUAGAAUGCAAACACUUUUAUUGACGAGUUCCAACCGACGUUAAUGCACCAGGGUAAUUAAUGUUAAAAUUUUGAAGAAAAAAAAUCGUUUGAGUUGUUAUGUUGAUACAGAAAUAUAUCUCAUUCUCGAGUAAAAAAAUAUCCUCUCAUCAUAAGAACCAUGCGUGGGCCAUGCGAGUGAUCCGCCAGGCAAACUUAUGAUUAUUUUUUUGGGCAAAUAACAGGUCAUCAUUCUCUUAAAGAUACAAACCAUAAAAAUCCAGGCACGUGAGACCCGCAUGCCCGAGCUCUUUUUUAAGAGGGUCCAACGUGCUGAACCGUUAGGCUCUUUUUUAGUUUUUUCAUUUAUUUUUUGUCUGUUGUAUGAUAAAAUUAAGGAAAAAAAUGUUAGAUUUGGUUUGGUUAUUUGCGGUCACGAUUUUGAUAAGUUAAGACAUGAUAUCCAAUGGCCUUUUUUUUUAUGCAUUUCAAUUAAAAAAUAUAUAUAUAUAAUCUAAUUCUUUAUUAUCAUUGAUUUUUUUAUUUGACUUAAAAUAAAAGGAAUGCAAUCUCAUCUCAUCCCCUUUUUUAAUCAUGCACCAUAGAGAAAUUAUAUCUAAUUUAGAUCAUGUUCAUGGAACUGGUUGUAAAUUUUUUCAGUUUAUUCAAGCGGAAUGGAGUCGAUAUAACAUGAUAUAUUUUUUAAUUUUUUUUUUGUAAGUUUAAUUUUCCUUCAUAUUUAAUCCCUUUUUUUUUGUCAAUUAAGACACAAUCAAGAAGAGAAUAGGGAAAGGAAAAUAAAAGAAACG
rnacentral:lncRNA from 1 species